UACGGAGGAUGCAAGCGUUAUCCGGAUUUAUUAGGUUUAAAGGGUGCGUAGGCGGACUUGUAAGUCAGCGGUGAAAUACUACAGCUUAACUGUAGAACUGCCGUUGAUACUGUGAGUCUUGAGUAUAGUUGAGGUAGGCGGAAUGUGUAGUGUAGCGGUGAAAUGCUUAGAUAUUACACAGAACACCGAUUGCGAAGGCAGCUUACUAAGCUAUACCUGACGCUGAGGCACGAAAGCAUGGGGAGCAAACAGGAUUA
rnacentral:rRNA from 1 species